GAAAUGCGAUAAGUAGUGUGAAUUGCAGAAUUCAGUGAAUCAUCGAAUCUUUGAACGCACAUUGCGCCCCUCGGUAUUCCGUGGGGCAUGCCUGUUCGAGCGUCAUCUACACCCUCAAGCUCUGCUUGGUGUUGGGCGUCUGUCCCGCCUCCUUCGCGCGCGGACUCGCCCCAAAUCCAUUGGCGGCGGCCCUCGCCUCCCUCUCGCGCAGCACAUUGCGCUUCUCGAGGCGCGGCGGACCGCGUCCAGCAAGCAACCGUCACACCGUCUUUGACCUCGGAUCAGGUAGGGAUACCCGCUGAACUUAAGC
rnacentral:misc_RNA from 1 species